rfam:Ricinus communis cultivar Hale ctg_1100012359843, whole genome shotgun sequence.
GGGUACAUGGUGUGGGCAUUGCAAUAAAAGUGAUAUGAAGCAAUCUCAAGCUUCAUAAAAGAACUCAUUAUCCUUUUGAUGAAGCUAGAAAUUUCAACCCUUAAUUU